rnacentral:rRNA from 1 species
UACGUAGGGUGCGAGCGUUGUCCGGAAUUACUGGGCGUAAAGAGCUCGUAGGUGGUUUGUCGCGUUGUUCGUGAAAACCGGGGGCUUAACCCCUCGGCGUGCGGGCGAUACGGGCAGACUUGAGUACUGCAGGGGAGACUGGAAUUCCUGGUGUAGCGGGUGGAAUGCGCAGAUAUCAGGAGGAACACCGGUGGCGAAGGCGGGUCUCUGGGCAGUAACUGACGCUGAGGAGCGAAAGCGUGGGGGAGCGAACAGG